rnacentral:piRNA from 1 species
UACACAGGUGAAGAGAAGUGCUCAGUGUA